AGUGAACGCUGGCGGUAGGCCUAACACAUGCAAGUCGAACGGCAGCACAGUAAGAGCUUGCUCUUACGGGUGGCGACUGGCGGGCGGGUGAGGAAUACAUCGGAAUCUACUUUUUCGUGGGGGAUAACGUAGGGAAACUUACGCUAAUACCUCAUACGACCUACGGGUGAAAGCAGUGGAUCUUCGGACCUUGCGCGAUUCAAUGAGCCGAUGUCGGAUUAGCUAGUUGGCGGGGUAAAGGCCCACCAAGGCGACGAUCCGUAGCUGGUCUGAGAGGAUGAUCAGCCACCCUGGAACUGAGACACGGUCCAGACUCCUACGGGAGGCAGCAGUGGGGAAUAUUGGACAAUGGGCGCAAGCCUGAUCCAGCCAUACCGCGUGGGUGAAGAAGGCCUUCGGGUUGUAAAGCCCUUUUGUUGGGAAAGAAAAGCAGCAGGUUAAUACCCCGCUGUUCUGACGGUACCCAAAGAAUAAGCACCGGCUAACUUCGUG
rnacentral:rRNA from 1 species